rnacentral:tRNA from 1 species
GGCAAGAUGGUCGAGUGGUCAAAGGCAACAGUCUGCAAAACUGUAAAAUCGAGGGUUCGAAUCCCUCUCUUGCUU